rnacentral:sRNA from 1 species
GAUGCCAGGGUCAAAAGGUCUAAACCCACAUGAGCUUGCUCAUAAGUGGGUGAAAGACCUUGAGACCCGCCCCGAUAUGAGCAUAAAAGUGGGAUGUCAGUCCCACGAUAUGCGAAUAUCAGGCAGGAUUGUGGGAGUGCGCAGCACGGAACAAUCCGUAGGCAUC